rnacentral:rRNA from 1 species
AGCAGCCGCGGUAAUUCCAGCUCCAAUAGCGUAUAUUAAAGUUGUUGCAGUUAAAAAGCUCGUAGUUGAAUUUCGAGACCGGUUUACUGGUCGUGCUUUUGUACGUACUGGUAUAAUCGGUUUCUCUUUUCUGACGAACUAUAAUGCCAUUAAUUUGGUGUUAUGGGAAAUCAGGACUGUUACUUUGAAAAAAUUAGAGUGUUUAAAGCAGGCUCACGCUUGAAUACAUUAGCAUGGAAUAACGGAAUAGGACGUUUGAUUCUAUUUUGUUGGUUUCUAGGAUCGACGUAAUGAUUAAUAGGGAUAGUUGGGGGCAUUAGUAUUCAAUUGUCAGAGGUGAAAUUCUUGGAUUUAUUGAAGACUAACUACUGCGAAAGCAUUUGCCAAGGAUGUUUUCAUUAAUCAAGAACGAAAGUUAGGGGAUCGAAGACGAUCAGAUACCGUCGUAGUCUUAACCAUAAACUAUGCCGACUAGGGAUCGGAUGAUGUUAAUUUUUUAAUGACUCAUUCGGCGCCUUAC